rnacentral:rRNA from 1 species
GACGAACGCUGGCGGCGUGCUUAACACAUGCAAGUCGAACGGAAAGGCCCUGCUUUUGUUGGGUGCUCGAGUGGCGAACGGGUGAGUAACACGUUAGUAACCUGCCCUUGACUUUGGGAUAACUUCAGGAAACUGGGGCUAAUACCGGAUAGGAGCUCCUGCUGCAUGGUGGGGGUUGGAAAGUUUCGGCGGUUGGGGAUGGACUCGCGGCUUAUCAGCUUGUUGGUGGGGUAGUGGCUUACCAAGGCUUUGACGGGUAGCCGGCCUGAGAGGGUGACCGGCCAAAUUGGGAAUGAGAUACGGCCGAGAGUCGUAAGGGAGGCAGCAGUAGGGAAGAUUGCACGAAGGGCGGAAGCAUGAUGCAGCAACGCCGCGUGAGGGAUGACGGACUUCGGGUUGUAAACCGCUUUCGCCGGUGACGGAGAGUGAGUGAAGGUAAUGGGUAAAGAAGCACCGGCUAACUACGUG